UCCUGUCUUUGGGCCACAUGUCCUCAAGGU
rnacentral:piRNA from 1 species